GCCCCUGCUCAGACCCCUCCUCACCCUGCGCAGGCCCCAGCACCCCACUCCAGGCUGCGGCAGCCCACCUGGCACCCCUCCUGCCUUGCCGGGCCCCAUCCCCAUCUACUGGCUUCCAACCCACUGUUGGGUCAGGAGCAGAAGGAGGACGCCGAGGGCGUUUGCUUCUAAGAAGGAUGGUCCGAGGAAGCCUCUCUGAAGUGACGUCCACGUCUCCACUGUCUCCACAAACCAUCCGAACGUUUGUGCGGUUCUGGAAUUUCCACCCCCAAACUGCCCCUGCCUACCUCCUGUGUCAGACAGCCCCCCAAAGCCCUGCGUUGUCGGCGUGUUAAGUAGGACCGUCCUCACAAAGCACCACAGGCUGAGGGGCUUCCACCACAGGCUGAGGGGCUUCCACCACAGCAAGGUGUGUGUGUCCGCCCUGCGGGCCGCCUCCUCCCUUCGACCCCACGGUCCCCGUGUGUGCAGUGUCCUGAUGUCCGGCCAGGUCAGGUCAGGGCCCACCCUCAUGACCUCAGUUAACCGUGAUCCCCUCUUUCAAGGCCCAUCUCCAAAUACAGUCACAUUCUGGAGUCCUGGGGGCGAGGACUUCACAGAUUAAAUCAGGGGUGGGACACCGUCAGCCCAGCCCGGCCAGAUAAACCGGGGCCCUCCGGAACCCGGCCAUUCUCCCAGGCCCACCUGCUCGGCACGGGGCCACGGGCUCUGCGGAAGGGUGAGCCCGCGGAACACCCACCUCCACUCCCCUGCCCCCCUCCCCUGGGACAGGUGUGAGGCUGCCUCGAAGGUCCAUCCUUGGGCCAAAUUGGCCUUGAGAGCCCAGGAAGGAGCCGCCACUGGGGCCAAGGGCAGACCAGGGUUGGGAGAGUAGAGGAAAGGUCACAGGUGCCCAGAUGGAGCCUGGGCUAUGGGCUGUCCUGGUCCCCACGCCACCCAGUGUACGUCUUAGAGCAGACCCAAGACCGUGAGUCUGCAGGGUUCGCUCCUGCCCGCUCCGGGGCAGGGUCCCACUCGGGGAAGCAUCCUCCCCCCUCUCCUCUGACUCAGGGCCCUGGCCUCUCCCUGCCCCUGCCCUAGGCCACUCCCUGCCCCACUCCUCUCGCCCCCACUGUCCAGCCUCGCUCCAUGCUCACGCUGCACCUCUGCGCUUGGCUGACACCGGGGAGAAGUCCACCCCUACCCAGGCCGCAAAUCCCUGGUCAUAAGAGUCACAGCCAGGGAAGCAGAGGCCCAGGGAAGGGAGGGGCCUGCCUCAGCACCACGCUGCCUCCCCACCCAGUGCAAGGUGGCUGGAGGCUACCUUGUUCCAGCCUGGCCUGGGGCUCCUGGGUCAGGCUGGGGAACCACCUGCCGGGCAGGCCAGCAGCAGGCGUGGGAGGUGAGGGGGGGGGGUUCUGAGUGACAAGGCCCCUGGGCAAUCCCCCCUCGGCAGCAUGCGGGGUGCCCACUGGGGAGCUUGGCCCACUCUCUCGGAGGCAGGAGGGAAGUGAAACCCAAGCUGGGAACACGCUUGCACCCAACCCCUGGCCCCACCCCAAGCUAGCCCCCAGAAAGGGGAAGCAGCUGGCCCACUGAGGAGGAGGGCCAGGGGGCUGUUGAUGCUCCCUGCCCUUGGGAUGCACUUGAGGUGGUGGGACCCUGCCCUUGCCACUCCUGAGACGGAAAGAAAAGGACUCUUCAUUUUAAAGAGGAGAAAAUAUGCAUCGUCAUUGGACUGUGUGUCCUGCGUGGCUCACCGGGCAGUUUCUCCUUCCAGCCAGAGCAUUCCAGGCCGCCUUGUCCCUGGGAACUAACUGCCCGGCCUGUUCGUCCAGCCCCGCUGGGACCUACCCACCCAGAACCCUGACCCACACUGGCAGGAGCCGAGGACAGCUGGGCUCACCCUGGCCGGGGCACCACCAUGGCUGCACACCACCUGUCCGGACCACCCUGGCCUCUGCACUGGUCCCUCCACUCUGCAAACCUGGCUCUAGGUCCAUCCAGAGCCUGCAUGGACACCUGCCACACAGAGGACAUCAAGGGCCCGCCAGAGAGGGGUGUCACGCAGCAAGAACCAGGGUGGCACCCGCUGAUGAGAGGCCCCUCCAUCUCCCUCCUCCCUGCCACAGCCCACCAGACAAGAAAGGGACCCAGAGGGGGACAGAGCCAAGGGGGGCGAAGGAGCAGGCACUCCACCCCCAUGCCCCUCCAGCAAGGCCCCGAAGUACCGAGGAGCAGGUGGGGGGUGGGCCAGGGGGGAUGUCAAACCGAGGAGGAUGAGCUUGGGAAGGGACUUUGUCAUGUUUGUGAAAGUGACCAGGAAGUUAGCAAAACUGCCUGAGGCGUCACAAAGGCUGCGGAUGGGAGGCUGGGCCUGGAGGAAGGCAGCGGUGGGAGAAAAUGAACCGAUGACACCUUCAGUCGAAGCAGGGUUCCAGUCUCCAUGAAACCCAGACCAGCCACAAGACUCCCAAGGGACCGGACCAUGAUGACCCAUCCCUGAAAGACCUCACUCAGGUGGAAUGAUGACAACAGCGCAGAUGACACCGGUCCCCAGAACGCUCGGCACACACAGCGUUGGCAGGAUGAAGUCUGUG